UGGGGAAUAUUGCACAAUGGGCGCAAGCCUGAUGCAGCCAUGCCGCGUGUAUGAAGAAGGCCUUCGGGUUGUAAAGUACUUUCAGCGGGGAGGAAGGGAGUAAAGUUAAUACCUUUGCUCAUUGACGUUACCCGCAGAAGAAGCACCGGCUAACUCCGUUCCAGCAGCCGCGGUAAUACGGAGGGUGCAAGCGUUAAUCGGAAUUACUGGGCGUAAAGCGCACGCAGGCGGUUUGUUAAGUCAGAUGUGAAAUCCCCGGGCUCAACCUGGGAACUGCAGCUGAUACUGGCAAGCUUGAGUCUCGUAGAGGGGAGUAGAAUUCCAGGUGUAGCGGUGAAAUGCGUAGAGAUCUGGAGGAAUACCGGUGGCGAAGGCGGCCCCCUGGACGAAGACUGACGCUCAGGUGCGAAAGCGUGGGGAGCAAACAGG
rnacentral:rRNA from 1 species